rnacentral:rRNA from 1 species
GAUGAACGCUGGCGGCGUGCCUAACACAUGCAAGUCGAGCGGAAAGGCCCUUCGGGGUCCUCGAUCGGCGAACGGGCGGGUAACACGUGAGUAACCUGCCCCCGACUUUGGGAUAACCCGCGGAAACGGGGGAUAAUACCGGAUACGCCACAGCUUCGCAUGGGGUCUGGGUGGAAAGGUGUUCGGGGUUGGAUGUGCUCGCGGCCUAUCAGCUUGUUGGUGGGGUGAUGGCCUGCCAAGGCGACGCCGGGUAACCGGCCUGAGAAUGGGACCGGCGACACAGGGACUGAGAGACGGCCGAGGCAGCGACGGGAGGGAGAAGUGGGGAAGAUUGCACAAGGGGCGGAAGGCUGGUGAAGCGGCUCCGCGGGAGGGAAGACGGUCUUCGGGGUGUAAACCUCAUUCAGCAGGGACGGAGCGUAAGUGACGGUACCUGCAGAAGAAGCGCCGGCCAACUACGUG